rnacentral:tRNA from 1 species
AUUUAUAAAGUUUUAUAACAUUUCAUUUUCAAUGAAAAAACAAGAAAUUAUUCUUUAUAAAUA